GACGAACGCUGGCGGCAGGCUUAACACAUGCAAGUCGAACGCUCCCUUCGGGGAGAGUGGCGCACGGGUGAGUAACACGUGGGAACCUACCCUGAGGUACGGAACAACCAUUGGAAACGAUGGCUAAUACCGUAUAUCCCCUGCGGGGGAAAGAUUUCGCCUUAGGAUGGGCCCGCGGUCGAUUAGCUAGUUGGUGAGGUAAAAGCUCACCAAGGCGACGAUCGAUAGCUGGUCUGAGAGGAUGAUCAGCCACACUGGGACUGAGACACGGCCCAG
rnacentral:rRNA from 1 species